rnacentral:snoRNA from 1 species
AGCACAUGGUGAGGGCAUCUUUUCAAGAGGUCCUUGUAUCUCUCCUAUGCAUCAUAGAGUGUCUCUAGAUCCAUCUGCACAAAAGAAGAGAUAUCAUUCCUCAAUUU